rnacentral:rRNA from 1 species
UACGGAGGGCGCAAGCGUUGCUCGGAAUUAUUGGGCGUAAAGCGCACGUAGGCGGCGUGUCAAGUCGAGUGUGAAAUCCCGGAGCUCAACUCCGGACAGGCAUUCGAUACUGGCGUGCUUGAGUGCGGGAGAGGGAAGCGGAAUCCCUGGUGUAGAGGUGAAAUUCGUAGAUAUCAGGAGGAACACCGGUGGCGAAAGCGGCUGCCGGGCCCGACAAUGACGAUCAUGUACGAAAGCGUGGGGAGCAAACAGG